rnacentral:rRNA from 1 species
ACAGAAGAGCUUGCUCUUUGGGUGGCGAGUGGCGGACGGGUGAGUAAUGUCUGGGAAACUGCCCGAUGGAGGGGGAUAACUACUGGAAACGGUAGCUAAUACCGCAUAACGUCGCAAGACCAAAGUGGGGGACCUUCGGGCCUCACACCAUCGGAUGUGCCCAGAUGGGAUUAGCUAGUAGGUGGGGUAAUGGCUCACCUAGGCGACGAUCCCUAGCUGGUCUGAGAGGAUGACCAGCCACACUGGAACUGAGACACGGUCCAGACUCCUACGGGAGGCAGCAGUGGGGAAUAUUGCACAAUGGGCGCAAGCCUGAUGCAGCCAUGCCGCGUGUAUGAAGAAGGCCUUCGGGUUGUAAAGUACUUUCAGCGGGGAGGAAGGCGGUGAGGUUAAUAACCUUGCCGAUUGACGUUACCCGCAGAAGAAGCACCGGCUAACUCCGUGCCAGCAGCCGCGGUAAUACGGAGGGUGCAAGCGUUAAUCGGAAUUACUGGGCGUAAAGCGCACGCAGGCGGUCUGUUAAGUCAGAUGUGAAAUCCCCGGGCUUAACCUGGGAACUGCAUUUGAAACUGGCAGGCUUGAGUCUCGUAGAGGGGGGUAGAAUUCCAGGUGUAGCGGUGAAAUGCGUAGAGAUCUGGAGGAAUACCGGUGGCGAAGGCGGCCCCCUGGACGAAGACUGACGCUCAGGUGCGAAAGCGUGGGGAGCAAACAGGAUUAGAUACCCUGGUAGUCCACGCCGUAAACGAUGUCGACUUGGAGGUUGUGCCCUUGAGGCGUGGCUUCCGGAGCUAACGCGUUAAGUCGACCGCCUGGGGGAGUACGGCCGCAAGGUUAAAACUCAAAUGAAUUGACGGGGGCCCGCACAAGCGGUGGAGCAUGUGGUUUAAUUCGAUGCAACGCGAAGAACCUUACCUGGCCUUGACAUCCAGAGAACUUAGCAGAGAUGCUUUGGUGCCUUCGGGAACUCUGAGACAGGUGCUGCAUGGCUGUCGUCAGCUCGUGUUGUGAAAUGUUGGGUUAAGUCCCGCAACGAGCGCAACCCUUAUCCUUUGUUGCCAGCGGUUCGGCCGGGAACUCAAAGGAGACUGCCGGUGAUAAACCGGAGGAAGGUGGGGAUGACGUCAAGUCAUCAUGGCCCUUACGGCCAGGGCUACACACGUGCUACAAUGGCGCAUACAAAGAGAAGCGACCUCGCGAGAGCAAGCGGACCUCAUAAAGUGCGUCGUAGUCCGGAUUGGAGUCUGCAACUCGACUCCAUGAAGUCGGAAUCGCUAGUAAUCGUAGAUCAGAAUGCUACGGUGAAUACGUUCCCGGGCCUUGUACACACCGCCCGUCACACCAUGGGAGUGGGUUGCAAAAGAAGUAGGUAGCUUAACCUUCGGGA